CAGCCGCCGGUAAAUACGGAGGAUCCGAGCGUUAUCCGGAUAUAUUGGGUUUAAAGGGGUUCGUAGGCGGUUGAGUAAGUCAGUGGUGAAAUCUUAUAGCUUAACUAUAAAAUUGCCGUUGAUACUGCUUGACUUGAAUAGUAUGGAAGUAAUUAGAAUAUGUAGUGUAGCGGUGAAAUGCUUAGAUAUUACAUGGAAUACCAAUUGCGAAGGCAGAUUACUACGUACUUAUUGACGCUGAUGAACGAAAGCGUGGGUAGCGAACAGGAUUUAGAUACCCUGGUAGUCCACGCCGUAAACGAUGGAUACUAGCUGUUCGGUUUUCGGACUGAGUGGCUAAGCGAAAGUGAUAAGUAUCCCACCUGGGGAGUACGUUCGCAAGAAUGAAACUCAAAGGAAUUGACGGGGGCCCGCACAAGCGGUGGAGCAUGUGGUUUAAUUCGAUGAUACGCGAGGAACCUUACCAAGGCUUAAAUGUAGAUUGACAGGUUUAGAGAUAGACUUUUCUUCGGACAAUUUACAAGGUGCUGCAUGGUUGUCGUCAGCUCGUGCCGUGAGGUGUCAGGUUAAGUCCUAUAACGAGCGCAACCCCUAUUGUUAGUUGCCAGCGAGUAAUGUCGGGAACUCUAACAAGACUGCCGGUGCAAACCGUGAGGAAGGUGGGGAUGACGUCAAAUCAUCACGGCCCUUACGUCUUGGGCUACACACGUGCUACAAUGGCCAGUACAGAAAGCAGCUACCAGGCAACUGGAUGCGAAUCUCAAAAACUGGUCUCAGUUCGGAUUGGAGUCUGCAACUCGACUCCAUGAAGCUGGAAUCGCUAGUAAUCGGAUAUCAGCCAUGAUCCGGUGAAUACGUUCCCGGGCCUUGUACACACCGCCCGUCAAGCCAUGGAAGCCGGGGGUACCUGAAGUCGGUCGCCGCAAGGAGCUGCCUAGGGUAAAACUGGUAACUAGGGCUAAGUCGUAACAAGGUAACCAAUCUAGAUGCAUUCCGCCGA
rnacentral:rRNA from 1 species